AGUGAACGCUGGCGGUAGGCCUAACACAUGCAAGUCGAACGGCAGCACAGUAAGAGCUUGCUCUUACGGGUGGCGAGUGGCGGACGGGUGAUGAAUACAUCGGAGUCUACUUUUUCGUGGGGGAUAACGUAGGGAAACUUACGCUAAUACCGCAUACGACCUACGGGUGAACGCAGGGUAUCUUCGGACCUUGCGCGAUUGAAUGAGCCGAUGUCGGAUUAGCUAGAUGGCGGGGUAAAGGCCCACCAAGGCGACGAUGCGUAGCUGGUCUGAGAGGAUGAUCCGCCACAGUGGAGAUGAGACACGGUCCAGAAUCCUACGGGAGGCAGCAGUGGGGAAUCUUGGACAAGGGGCGCUAGCGUGAUCUAGACAUACCGCGUGAGUGAAGAAGGCCUUCGCGUUGUAAAGCCCUUAUGUUGGGAGAGAAAAGCAGCCGGUUAAUACCCAGCUGUUCUGACGGUACCCAAAGAGUAAGCACCGGCUAACUUCGU
rnacentral:rRNA from 1 species